rnacentral:lncRNA from 1 species
AGAAAUUUUAUCUCUGCUAGCAAUUGCCCUUAUAUCGAUCUCGACAAGCCAUCCCCGUCAAAGCAGAUAGCACCUCCGAGGAACCUGAUUGUACAAUAAUCGGGCCAUCACUAUAGUGCACCGCCAAUGCCAUCUCCUGCAUCAAAGCAUGUUCGUUACUACAGUUAAACAAAUAGCGAUAUGCCGCGAAGACCACCCGCCACCGCCAGCAGGUCUUCUCAUUAUCAUGCCGGCCACCGCUCAGAGCAUUCAAUUGAGAGGAUCCUUUUACAUAACUGCUGUCGAUUACUAACAAGAGGACUAAACCUUCAUCUUUCUACCUAUAAAUUGCAACCCAUGGAGUAGGUUUAGGCACCCUAGAGUAUCUAUGAAUUGUUUUUGUCAGCACUACUUUAUCAUAGUUUACCUUUCGUGCCUGGUAGAGUUAGCUACUAGCUAGGCUUGGCAGACAUCGGGAAACCGAUCGCAAAGCCCACAACAAGGGAUGUUCCACGACUUGAACUACACAGUACAUUUGGAACAAUUUGGAUUCCCCAACAUUGUUUGGUUGAGAGCCUCUCAAGUCUAGGAGGAAUCUACACCAUACUAAGAUUGAUUAGAGCUAACACAUCAAGAUGAGUGUUGCAUGCAGUUAGGUGUGGAUGCAGUAUAUAUGUUGUAGUUCGACAAGGUAUGUGUGCGAUGCGUACGAAGCCAACAAGUUUCAGCAGAGGUAUGAAUGGCGAGAUGCGUGCCAAGCCGUGCGAUAUGUGAAACACGGCGAGAUGCCGAGGCAACGUGAAGCAGCCGUGUAGCUGCACGUCCUAUGAGAAGUCAAGGUUUUCUUCCUCCUCACCAUGGAGUUUCACCCCCGUGAAUUGAUUCUCUAAAUCUUUCUCUGGACCGUUGUAAUCCCAACAAUCAUCAUCAUCUGCCCCAGAUUUAUCAUACACGCUUUCCUUCUGUUAGACUUAGUAUAUAAGUGCAUGUACGUGUUGUAAUAGGA